rfam:Erinaceus europaeus unplaced genomic scaffold scaffold00106, whole genome shotgun sequence
CUAGCAUCUAAAGCCAAGGCUUUAGAUUCCUAUAAAGAACGUUUAAACACAGGUACUGACAAAGAGGUGGAGUCUUUUGGGGUGUGUGUGUGUGUGUGUGCCCCUCACAGUGAAUUUGGAGGUUCUGCACUC